GCCUCUAUAGCUCAACGGAUAGAGCUUCAGUUUCCGGAACUGAAGAUGAAGGUUCAAUUCCUUCUAGAGGCA
rnacentral:tRNA from 1 species